CACUGGAGGCAGCGGUUCAUCGAUCUGUUCCCUGAAAGCUGAAUAUAUAUGCAAAAAUACAGCAAAAGGAACCGAUCGAUAAACCUCUGCAUCCAGU
rfam:Solanum tuberosum cultivar DM 1-3 516 R44 scf00180_13, whole genome shotgun sequence.